UACAGAGGGUGCGAGCGUUAAUGAAUGAUCUGGGCGUAAAGCGCGCGUAGGCGGCUUUGCAAGUCGGGUGUGAAAUCCCCAGGCUUAACCUGGGAACUGCAUUCGAGACUGCAUUGCUAGAGUAUGGGAGAGGGAAGUGGAAUUUCCGGUGUAGCGGUGAAAUGCGUAGAUAUCGGAAGGAACAUCAGUGGCGAAAGCGACUUCCUGGACCAAUACUGACGCUCAUGUGCGAAAGCGUGGGGAGCAAACAGG
rnacentral:rRNA from 1 species